rnacentral:sRNA from 1 species
UAAUAUUUGCCGAAUUUCCACAGGAAAACGGGGGAACCAAUUUUUAGGGGUGAAUUUCCAAGUCUGCCGGACGGAGCGUCCGCCGCAGGACGAAUAGGGUGACUGUGCAGCCCGAACCCGUCAGCUAACCUCGUAGGCGUAUUGCAGAGGA